AGUGAACGCUGGCGGCAUGCCUAACACAUGCAAGUCGAACGGCAAGACAGUAAGAGCUUGCUCGUACGGGUGGCGAGUGGCGGACGGGUGAGGAAUACAUCGGCAUCUACUUUUUCGUGGGGAAUAUCGUAGGGAAGGUUACGUUAACACCGCAUACAACCUACGGCAGAAAGCAGGGGUUCUUCGGACUUUUCGCGUUAGUUUUAGCUGAUGUCGGAUUAGCUAGUUGGCGGGGUAAAGGCCCACCAAGGCGACGAAGCGUAGCUGGUCUGAGAGGAUGAUCGGCCACACUGGAACUGAGACACGGUCCAGACUCCUACGGGAGGCAGCAGUGGGGAAUAUUGGGCAAUGGGCGAAAGCCUGAUCCAGCCAUACCGCGUGGGUGAAGAAGGUCUUCGGGUUGUAAAGCCCUUUUGUUGGGGAAGAAAAGCAGUAGGUUAAUACCCCGCUGUUCUGACGGUACCCAAAGAAUAAGCACCGGCUAACUUCGUG
rnacentral:rRNA from 1 species